UAGGCUUGACAUGUAGGGAAAAGCCGUAGAGAUUACGGUGUCCUUCGGGGUCCUACAC
rnacentral:rRNA from 1 species